GACGAACGCUGGCGGCGUGCUUAACACAUGCAAGUCGAACGGAAAGGCCCUGCUUUUGUGGGGUGCUCGAGUGGCGAACGGGUGAGUAACACGUGAGUAACCUGCCCUUGACUUUGGGAUAACUUCAGGAAACUGGGGCUAAUACCGGAUAGGAGCUCCUGCUGCAUGUGGGGGUUGGAAAGUUUCGGCGGUUGGGGAUGGACUCGCGGCUUAUCAGCUUGUUGGUGGGGUAGUGGCUUACCAAGGCUUUGACGGGUAGCCGGCCUGAGAGGGUGACCGGCCACAUUGGGGCUGAGAUACGGCCCAGACUCCUACGGGAGGCAGCAGUGGGGAAUAUUGCACAAUGGGCGGAAGCCUGAUGCAGCAACGCCGCGUGCGGGAUGACGGCCUUCGGGUUGUAAACCGCUUUCGCCUGUGACGAAGCGUGAGUGACGGUAAUGGGUAAAGAAGCACCGGCUAACUACGUG
rnacentral:rRNA from 1 species